rnacentral:piRNA from 1 species
UGCCCAGAGGUGUUCUGCACCACAGCCUGAAG